rnacentral:misc_RNA from 1 species
ACAAUUUUUUAUAUGGGGAGUGAGGUAAAUAACUCAAUUAUGAAUUUCAUUUUCUGAGAAACUUACAUAACCACAAAUUGUAUAAUUUGGCUGGCUUAGUUGCAGUUGCAGAGGAGGCAACUUAUGAGGAUAAAAGUAGCAUGGCCUAUAAAAAUGGCGCCAAUUUCCCUUAAAAUCCACUAAGAAACUCAUUUGGUAAUUUAACUCACUCCCCAUAUAAAAAAUUGUACAUAGAGGACAUAAAUUACCCACCGAACUUCGAUUUCAGAGGGCUGUUGGUACAAAAAGUGCAAGUCAUAUAAUGCUUGCAUGAG